GGGCCACAUCACAUUGAAACACUGGUUCCUAUAUGAUCACCAAAGUUAAGCAAUGUUGAGCCUGGUCAGUACUGCAAUGGAUGGCCCCUUGGAAUACCAGGUGCUGUAAG